UUUGCCAAACUAACCCCGUCAAAUUUUUAUUUGUAAAACUAACCCUCCUUUCGCCACGUGGGCGCCACCUCAGAGAUUCCUCAAAAAGACGGUGAAUCGUUCACCGUCUUUGUAAUUUUUGUUUAAAAGCGGUGAAUGGUUCACCGUCUUUAGAAGACGGUAAAUCAUUCACCGCCUUUAGUGCAAAAUUUUUCUUUCCGCCCUUUUCUUUUUCCACUCUCUCAAGUCCGUCUUUUCUGUGCCCUCGAAAAGACGGGGAACGAUUCACCGUCUUAUCAAGGACACCAUAUUAUGGAUGGACUUGAAAAGAUUUGCGCAGUGUAGGGAUUUGUACUAAAGACGGUGAAUGAUUUACCGUCUUAUGAAGACGGUGAACCAUUCACCGUCUUCACAAAAGACGGUGAACGAUUCACAGUCUUUUUGAGGAAUCCCUGACGUGGCGCCCACGUGGCGAGAGGAGGGUUAGUUUCACAAAUAAAA
rnacentral:lncRNA from 1 species